rnacentral:rRNA from 1 species
UACCUUAUGUUGCCUCGGCGGAUCAGCCCGCGCCCCGUAAAAAGGGACGGCCCGCCGCAGGAACCCUAAACUCUGUUUUUAGUGGAACUUCUGAGUAUAAAAAACAAAUAAAUCAAAACUUUCAACAACGGAUCUCUUGGUUCUGGCAUCGAUGAAGAACGCAGCAAAAUGCGAUAAGUAAUGUGAAUUGCAGAAUUCAGUGAAUCAUCGAAUCUUUGAACGCACAUUGCGCCCGCCAGUAUUCUGGCGGGCAUGCCUGUUCGAGCGUCAUUUCAACCCUCAAGCCCAGCUUGGUGUUGGGAGCUGCAGUCCUGCUGCACUCCCCAAAUACAUUGGCGGUCACGUCGAGCUUCCAUAGCGUAGUAAUUUACACAUCGUUACUGGUAAUCGUCGCGGCCACGCCGUUAAACCCCAACUUCUGAAUGUUGACCUCGGAUCAGGUAGGAAUACCCGCUGAACUUAAGCAUAUCAA